rnacentral:lncRNA from 1 species
GUGAAAUAAGUCAAUAGUUUGAAGAACAAUUGUUGAUUAGAUGCUUUUUUCAUUAAUUAGGCUAUAUUUUCCUGAACUUUAUGGUCUAUCUACUAGAAACUCAUGGACAAUAUGCAUACAGAUAUAAAAAAUGAAUACUAUAUAUGAAUAUAUAAUUUAAAAGUUAUUCAAGUAUAAAUUAACAAAGAUCAGUUUUCCAUCCCAAAUUUUUGUGUGUAAAGUACAUGUAGGAAAGAAAUUGCACUACAGUCCUGAUGGAAACGGCUGAUUUGUUAACUUUCCAAAUGUCAACAAAACUCACUAGACGAGGUGGAAUCUUUAUGUGUGUGUAAAAUUUAUUAUGCGAGGAAUUGUAAUGGAAACUCCUUUAUGCACAAAUAUUGUAAACUUGGAGUCACGCGAUGAUAUGUUGUUGGUCCUCCCACUACGACUCAGGAAAGCAUGCACAAGGUGGUGAAAGUGGACAGUCAUGAGCUUGAUGCUACUUUCCAAUAAAUAUCGAGGGACUUAUUCUGGUGACACGAUGAUCAAUGCUUGGCUGCUGUUUGGCAAAUAAAAAUAAUCUCACUCUUGUACAUAAUAACCUCAUCAUGUAGGCUAUACCUGCAUUGUACCUGCCAGCUGUUGGCUAGAGCAUGUGCCAAGACCAGAGUGGACACAUUCGCUAUAUAACGCAAAAUAUAUGGUGACAAAAACAUCAGAAGAGUUGAAAAUAAGAUGGAAAACCAUUUAACAUGGGAAUAGAAAUUCAACCACAAAAGUAAUUAUGUGCACUACGUCAUCGCGCACAUCCAUUUUCCCACAAGUCAAUUUGAUGGAAAUAUGACCAUAUUGUAUAUGCAUAUUGUUUUUAUAGAGAUUUUAGAAUAUUUGCAUAAAAUUCUGUCGCAAUUGGAUGGAAUCCUAGCUAUAGAUUGAAAUAGAUUGUUAGUUACCAAAAUUCCAGUAGCUUUGGUAAAUUACCGGUAGCUUUGCAACCCUAGCUCUAUGCCUUACUGUCAGUACAGAGAAUCCGUGUUGUGAAUAAGGUGGUUCAUGGUGUCACAAAUAUGUGAAUACAAUAUCCAAACGUUUUACUUCUCUUCAACUACUAGAGUUAGUAUUAUUAACACAAAACACUUAUUGAAUUCAUUUUCCCCCUGCUUCUUAAACUACACUGAACAAAAAAUAUAAACGCAACAUGUAAAGUGUUGGUCCCAUGUUUAAUGAGCUGAAAUAAAAGAUCCCAGAAAUUGUCCAUAAGCACAAAAAGCUUAUUUCAUUUAAAUUUGGUGCACAAAUUUGUUAACGUCCCUGUUGGUGAGCUUUUCUCCUAUGCUAAGCUAAUCCAUCCAUCUGACAGGUGUGGCAAAUCAAGCUGAUUCAACAGCAUGAUCAUUGCACAGGUGCACCUUAUGCUGGGACAAUAAAAGACCACUAAAAUGUGCAGUUUUGUCACACAACACAAUGCCACAGAUGUUUAAAGUUGAGGGAGCGUGCAACUGGCAUAAGACUGCAGGAAUGUCCACCAUAGCUGUUGCCAGAUAAUGUAAUGUCUCUACCAUAAACCACUUACAACAUAAUUUUAGAGAAUUUGGCAGUAUGUCCAACCGCAGACCACGUAUAUGGCUUCGUGUGGAUGAGCAUAAACUAUAACAAUGAACACAAUUGCAUUUUAUCGAUGGCAAUUUGAACAGACAAAAAUACAGUGACAAGAUCCUGAGGACAAUUGCGAGGCCCAUAUUUUAAGCUAUCUGUGAUCAACAGAUGCAGAUCUGUAUUCCCAGUCAUGUGAAAUCCAUAGAUUAGAACCUAAUUUAUUUAUUUCAAUUGACUGAUUUCCUCAUAUGAACUGUAACUCAGUAAAAUCUUUGACAUUGUGGCAUUUAUAUUUUUGUUCAGUAUACCAUUUGAAUGACAUGAGAUUAACCAUUGUGAAAGUGAUGAUUAAAAACUAGGUUACUAUCAGCAUGAAGGACAAUGUUUUAACGUAGACUUUGGUGAACCAGUUUGUGCUUUCUUGUAAUUUAUGUAAAUAAAGUGUUAUUUUUUAUUAUUAAA